rnacentral:misc_RNA from 1 species
UUUCCGUAGGUGAACCUGCGGAAGGAUCAUUACCGAGUGAGGGCCCUCUGGGCCCAACCUCCCACCCGUGUUUAUCGUACCUUGUUGCUUCGGCGGGCCCGCCUCACGGCCGCCGGGGGGCACCCGCCCCCGGGCCCGCGCCCGCCGAAGACACCAUUGAACGCUGUCUGAAGAUUGCAGUCUGAGCAUCUUAGCUAAAUCAGUUAAAACUUUCAACAACGGAUCUCUUGGUUCCG